rnacentral:rRNA from 1 species
CCCUUAGAUGUUCUGGGCCGCACGCGCGCUACACUGGUGCGUUCAACAAGUUUACAACCUUGAUUGACAAGUCUGGGUAAUCUUUUGAAUGCGCACCGUGCUAGGGAUAGAUUAUUGCAAUUAUUAAUCUUGAACGAGGAAUUCCUAGUAAACGCAAGUCAUCAGCUUGCAUUGAUUACGUCCCUGCCCUUUGUACACACCGCCCGUCGCACCUACCGAUUGAAUGGUCCGGUGAAAUCUCGGGACGGCGGCUUGGUCGCUUGCGUCCGACUGCUGAAACUUGAUUAAACCAUAUCAUUUAGAGGAAGGUGAANUCGUAACA